GAUGAACGCUGGCGGCGUGCUUAACACAUGCAAGUCGAACGAUGAAGCCCAGCUUGCUGGGUGGAUUAGUGGCGAACGGGUGAGUAACACGUGAGUAACCUGCCCUUGACUCUGGGAUAAGCGCUGGAAACGGCGUCUAAUACCGGAUACGAGCUUCCACCGCAUGGUGAGUUGCUGGAAAGAAUUUCGGUCAAGGAUGGACUCGCGGCCUAUCAGGGUGUUGGUGAGGUAACGGCUCACCAAGCCGACGACGGGUAGCCGGCCUGAGAGGGUGACCGGCCACACUGGGACUGAGACACGGCCCAGACUCCUACGGGAGGCAGCAGUGGGGAAUAUUGCACAAUGGGCGCAAGCCUGAUGCAGCAACGCCGCGUGAGGGACGAAGGCCUUCGGGUCGUAAACCUCUUUUAGCAGGGAAGAAGCGAAAGUGACGGUACCUGCAGAAAAAGCACCGGCUAACUACGUG
rnacentral:rRNA from 1 species